CGGUGAAUACGUUCCCGGACCUUGUACACACCGCCCGUCAAGCGAUGGAAGUUGGGAGGACCUGAAGACAGUUGUUGUAAGACGCUGUUUAGGGUAAACUAGUAACUGGGGCU
rnacentral:rRNA from 1 species